AGCAGCCGCGGUAAUUCCAGCUCCAAUAGCGUAUAUUAAAGUUGUUGCAGUUAAAAAGCUCGUAGUUGAAUUUCGGGGUCAGUGGGUUGGUCGUGCCACUGGUAUGUACUGGCCCUACUGAUUCCUCCUUCUUGAAGAACUGUAAUGCCAUUAACUUGGUGUUGCAGGGAAACAGGACUGUUACUUUGAAAAAAUUAGAGUGUUUAAAGCAGGCAAUCGCUUGAAUACAUUAGCAUGGAA
rnacentral:rRNA from 1 species